rnacentral:rRNA from 1 species
GUACCGUGAGGGAAAGUUGAAAAGAACUUUGAAGAGAGAGUUAAAAAGUACGUGAAACCUCUCGGGGGCAAGCGGGCAGAACUUGCAAGUAUUGAUGGAAACAUUCAGGCUUGGUGUUGGUGGGAGAUGGUGCAAGUAAAGUUGCUCUUUCGGGAGUUGGCUGAUUUGUGCUGUUUUAAGCUGCUGACAAUACGCCGCAUUUGUUUUCAUCAUCGGGUUGCAUGCGACUGAUUUGUGUAGUUUUUAGGUGCUGGGUUCCUGCAAAUCCUUGUGGUUUGAGUCCUGGUUACCGACUACUGAUGCGGUCGUUGAACAUAUGAGCAGGCGUUUAUCGCGGUCAAGAGUCUUUGCGAGUAUGGUGCUUGUGAUGUGUGGACGGGUAACCGUAGCACGUUGUCUGUACUUGCUGUCAGCAAGGGCCCUUUGGCACUGCUUUGUAAUUGCAAUCUAAAGCAUGCGUGGUCUGCCU